GGAAGUACGCCAAAGUUGGAGAGUUGGGAUGGUCUGUAAAACCAUUGGCUUUAAGUCUGAGUAGGUUCGAGUCCUACUACUUCCA
rnacentral:tRNA from 1 species